CAAGGGGCAAGGUUAUCCAACCUUAAAGAUAUCUGUUUAUAUACAUGGACAAAAUGCAUACAUACAACCUUGAAUCUUGGUUCUUAGAGCUUAAUGACCUUGCUUCCUUACAAUUGACAGAUGGCAGUCCCUAUUAUCAAUAUGUUCAAUCAGCUAGCCAAAUGCAACACAAUUUAUUUAACCAAAACAUAAUCUAUUCAGUAGUCACCACCCCGGUAGCUACCACCAUCUCUGCCACUAAGGAUCCCGAGUCAAUCAGACUGAACUUUGAGAAAUGGAUUGGAAUUUUGGAAAUAAAGAGGAAAACUGAACAAGCGGGUACCUAGAAAAGCAACGUAGCCAUUCAAAGCAGGUGGCGAACAUUGAAUCAUUGUUGCAAAACAUAUUCCUAUUUGAGAAUUGUUGGCACCAAGAUAACGCAACUCAAACCUUGCUGCUCUCUUCCAUGAUUUGAGACUUCCAGCUUGGUUGCUGUCCAAGUAGAAACGCCCACAUCCUGUGAAUUUACUGCAAGUCCAUCUGAAAAUCAUACGUAUUAAGAGCAAAAACAACCAUUAAUGAUGCUUCCAGCCAUAUAAAUGGAAGGAAAUAGAUUAAUGUAUCAAGCGGGUGAAGAAAUAGUAAAACAUUCACCAUUAAAACAAAAACCUAAAACACAUCAACAAUUUUGUCAGCAACACUUCAACAAGAAUCCACACCCAAAUUCAGAGUAAAAUUAGCUUCCUGAAAGGUGAUCCUUUUAAUCCCAUCCCAAACAAGUGUUCCAUAACACCGUUAUGGAUGCGAGCAGCUGAACUACUCCAAACUGUUUUCCUUCUCCACUACCAUUUGAUAUAAUUAUCCAGACUACUUUCAUUAUCGUAUAAAUAUAUACAUCUUCUUCCUAUGAGUUUCGUCCCUAAACUAGCAAUUUGUAUCUCGUGCAUAAGACUCGAGGGAAAAUGAUGUUUAGAACGUACCCCUUGUCGAGCUAACUGAUACAAAAACUUCUUCUACGAAGAGCAUGUCGUGCCCCUUGUUCUCCACGAAUCUUUCUGUUGGACUGGAAGUUGUCCCAGGGGCUGGAAAGCUGAUUUCUUUCAAUUCAUCAAUGUUCCAGCGAUUGAAAUAAUUAUGCAGGGAAAUAAUCAAACAAUAAAGGUGUCCCUAAACCCGCCCAUUGUCAAGACUAGUUAUGUCAGAUUUUUCACCAAUAAAGCAUUGAACUUAGACCUAAAUAACUAUUAGCUUCAAUAACGUUCACAAACCAACAGCAUCACAUACAGACGGACCAUAAAAGUUCUCCACAUAGUUGAAAGAUUAUAGGGUACCUUUAUGCUGGCAAUGAAUUUGCUAUGGGGACUGACACUAUUGAAUUUGCUAUGCGGCUGAUCACCAUACAACGAAUAGAAGGAUUAGCUGACGAUUUACUUUGACUAUAGCACCGGCCAGCACUUGCUGAUUCACUGUUGCAGUAUUAGCUUCAAUGUUCACAAAUUGCCAAUGAAUUUGGGUCCGUAAUUCUAUGGAAACUAAUGCCAUGUACAAAAAGAUAAUCAUACCUCACGAUUUCAUAACUAAAUCUCCUCUAGUGAAGAUUUCGAGAUCAUUGUUGUUUGUCUAGCAGGAUCCGGUCGCUGUGUUGGCGGCUGACAAGAUUCCCGAGUUUCUCACCCAAACUAGAGCGGAAAGCUACGGGUGCCGAUUUUCUUUUUCCCGUUAUUUU
rnacentral:lncRNA from 1 species